rnacentral:rRNA from 1 species
UACGGGGGGGGCAAGCGUUGUUCGGAAUUACUGGGCGUAAAGGGCUUGUAGGUGGCCAACUAAGUCAGACGUGAAAUCCCUCGGCUUAACCGGGGAACUGCGUCUGAUACUGGAUGGCUUGAGUGUGGGAGAGGGAUGCGGAAUUCCAGGUGUAGCGGUGAAAUGCGUAGAUAUCUGGAGGAACACCGGUGGCGAAGGCGGCAUCCUGGACCAUGACUGACGCUGAGGUGCGAAAGCGUGGGGAGCAAACAGG